UUGGGGAAGGCAGCUUUGCACAUCCUUCUGGAAAGUUAAUACUGCUAAGAUAGGGGGGAAAAAACGGAGGCUUUGGGAUUCUUGAGAUAAAUAAGGAGGGGGACCUUGUCAAGGAAUCUGGGGACAGGUAAGCAAGGCGACACUGGAGGGGCUGUCGCUGCAGAACUCCAAGCGCAGUGCCUGUUUCUCCCACAGACACUGGAAUUGUUUAUUUGGACUCCUGCCAGCGCCUCAUCUGGGGAACACAGGCAUUUAGUCACAUCUCCCCAAAAAAGUCACACAGCAGCUGGAGCCCACAGUGAAUGAGAUCAGUGCCUUUGAGAGGAGAUGCCAGGAAAAGCUCCUUCAGUGCUUCCGCUAUGAAAGGCAUAAGAUAUCCACUUAUGAACAGGGAGCCCAGCAGUGUCCUGAAGCAGAACUCCACAUCCUUCAAAACUAUGAGGAAGAAAUGUGUGCUGCUCAUGAGAUACUUCCGUCUACUGUAAUCUGAAAGCCUCCUUGAUUUGAAAACGAUCCACCCGACCACACUACAGUCACAGCCAUAGAUGUCAAAGGAGCACACUGGGUCUGGGAUAUUUCUGCCACAGCCGUUUUCGACACCUGUUGAUCAUUCAAUCAGAGGAAACCUCGGAGCUGAAGAUAUGCCAACUCUGUGGAAAUUCCUUCCCAAAAUAGCAAGAGCUGAGAGAAUUGCUGGGCAGGCAAGUCCUGGUGGGCGGGGCUCGGGGCUGCUUGCGGUUCAGCAACUAUCUUUCAUGGUUGGCAUUUUUACACUGUCUAAAUCCUCAGUCGGUCCAACAGCUGAUUUCCUCCUUUGUCCAGCUCUUCCUUUCUCAUUUCCUGGGGAGUGGCGGCCACACCCUUCCACAAGUCACUUCUUUGGAAGCAAUUGCUGAAAUGGCCACACAGCUGUCUGCAGUUGUCCGACAGUGACCGCUACACUGGAGUUUGCUCUUCCCUCACUAAGUCCAUGAAUUGUAAAAAAAAGCAAACUUUAAGAGGAACAAGGCACUGUGUCCUAGCUCUAAGUCAAAUGAUGUGUAAAAGCCAUUUCUAAGCCUGUCUCCUCCCAUGAGCAAAACUGGAGGGAGUCAGGGGCUCAAACAACCUAGGGAAGCCUUCAUAUUUUUAAAAACAUCAGACUGUGUGUUUAAACUUUAAUCACGUAAAUAUCCAUUAUGCUUAUGUUUCAUAUUCGAACCACAAUUUGUGUGUUACUUUAAAAAAUAAAU